GUGGGGAAUAUUGCGCAAUGGGCGAAAGCCUGACGCAGCCACGCCGCGUGAGUGAUGAAGGCCUUCGGGUUGUAAAGCUCUGUCGGGAGGGACGAAAGGUCGCAAGACCCUGACGGUACCUCGCAAGAAAGCACCGGCUAACUCUGUGCCAGCAGCCGCGGUAAUACAGAGGGUGCAAGCGUUGCUCGGAUUUACUGGGCGUAAAGCGUACGCAGACGGCCACGCAGGUCGGGUGUGAAAGCCCCGGGCUCAACCCGGGAAUUGCAUUCGAAACCAUGUGGCUCGAGUGUGGGAGAGGGUAGUGGAAUUCCUGGUGUAGAGGUGAAAUUCGUAGAUAUCAGGAGGAACACCGGCGGCGAAGGCGGCUACCUGGUCCACAACUGACGUUCAGGUACGAAAGCGUGGGGAGCAAACAGGAUUAGAAACCCGAGUAGUCC
rnacentral:rRNA from 1 species